CACAUCCUGGGGGAGAACCCCAUCUCUGAGAUAUGUUAUCAGUGGGUCGAUCCAGCUGAGCUCGUGGUCAAUUUCCAACAUGGGCCGCGAUUCUUCCAUACUCGGGCACUUGAGCACUUCAAAGAGAACACCCUUGGGUAAUUCGGCCGGAGCCAGCGUUGCCAGCUUGGAGAGAAGGUCGGCCCUGAUAUUUUCCAACCUCAGAAUCUGCCUGAUAUUGAAGCUGCUGAAGGUGGGGAUGAGCUCCUUUACCUUUUCAAGAUAUUUAGCCAUGCUGUCCUCCCGCGCUUCGUAGUUUCCGUUGACUUGUCCCACUACUAGUUGGGAGUCGCUGUGGACCUGGAGCCGAUCUAUUUCUAGCUCUUUGGUGAUCCUCAGUCC
rnacentral:lncRNA from 1 species